rnacentral:rRNA from 1 species
AGAGUUUGAUCAUGGCUCAGGACGAACGCUGGCGGCGUGCUUAACACAUGCAAGUCGAGCGGAAAGGCCCUUCGGGGUACUCGAGCGGCGAACGGGUGAGUAACACGUGAGUAAUCUGCCCCUAGCUCUGGGAUAGCUCCGGGAAACCGGGAUUAAUACCGGAUAUGACCACUACAGACAUCUGUUCUGGUGGAAAGAAUUUCGGCUAGGGAUGAGCUCGCGGCCUAUCAGCUUGUUGGUGGGGUAACGGCCUACCAAGGCGACGACGGGUAGCCGGCCUGAGAGGGCGACCGGCCACACUGGGACUGAGACACGGCCCAGACUCCUACGGGAGGCAGCAGUGGGGAAUAUUGCGCAAUGGGCGAAAGCCUGACGCAGCGACGCCGCGUGGGGGAUGAAGGCCUUCGGGUUGUAAACCCCUUUCAGCAGGGACGAAGCGAGAGUGACGGUACCUGCAGAAGAAGCGCCGGCUAACUACGUGCCAGCAGCCGCGGUAACACGUAGGGCGCAAGCGUUGUCCGGAAUUAUUGGGCGUAAAGAGCUCGUAGGCGGUCUGUUGCGUCCGCUGUGAAAACUCGGGGCUUAACCCCGAGCCUGCAGUGGAUACGGGCAGACUAGAGGUAGGUAGGGGAGAAUGGAAUUCCCGGUGUAGCGGUGAAAUGCGCAGAUAUCGGGAGGAACACCGGUGGCGAAGGCGGUUCUCUGGGCCUUACCUGACGCUGAGGAGCGAAAGCGUGGGGAGCGAACAGGAUUAGAUACCCUAGUAGUCC